rnacentral:tRNA from 1 species
UCCAGGAUAGCCUAGUGGACAUGGCAACUGCCCGGUAAGCGGAGGGUUGUGGGUUCGAUUCCCGCUCCUGGAC